GGCUCAUUCUACUUGGGAGGCUGCUGCAGCGUGAGUGAGUCUUUGUGACCGAUCUCUCUGGGGCAGAUACCAAACCUAGUAAAGUGAACUGACUUUUCGCAAUUCCUUUGAACACAUGUUUCGGAUGGCAACUGCGGGCAUGUAAGAGACUGUUGCCCGAAAUAGGCUUACGGUAGAGAGCAGAGAUGAUGGUUCCUCCUUCAGGAUUUCCUGUGGUGAGAUCCCAGGAUUCCUAACUAAUACCUAAACAUUGGAGUGCAUGAAAAAUAGCUAUUCUUGGGUUGACAAAUGAACAAUUGAAAGUGCUGGUAUUUGGCUUGGCAUCCUGCAUUUGAGAAAUAAAAGAAAGCUCUGUUCAUCCCCCAUAGAGAAGUCAUUAGGACUGAGAAUAUUCUAAUUAUUCUACACGUGGCUUCAAGAAUUCUGCAGAUAAAGCAACAAAAGCUGUCAAGAAAUGGCAAGAUGGAAAAGGAAUAUGAGUAUUGAGGUUUUCUAUUGUCUUAAAGUAGACAUCCUCAAACUUGGCCCUCCAGAGGUUUUGGAACUACAUUUCCCAUGAUGCUUAGCCAGCUGAUAUGCUGGCUGAGCAUCAUGGGAAAUGUAGUUCCAAAAACCUCUGGAGGGCCACGUUUGAGGAUGUCUGUCUUAAAGGGUAAUUUUUGUAGUGUGCUUACAUUUCACCAAUUGCGCUCUUGACGAUUAUUCUAUUAUUAAAAUCUAUAAAGAGAAUAAAUGGCAUAUUUUACCUUG